rnacentral:rRNA from 1 species
UACGUAGGGCGCGAGCGUUGUCCGGAUUUAUUGGGCGUAAAGAGCUCGUAGGCGGCUUGUCGCGUCGACUGUGAAAACCCGCGGCUCAACUGUGGGCUUGCAGUCGAUACGGGCAGGCUGGAGUUCGGUAGGGGAGACUGGAAUUCCUGGUGUAGCGGUGAAAUGCGCAGAUAUCAGGAGGAACACCGGUGGCGAAGGCGGGCCUCUGGGCCGAUACUGACGCUGAGGAGCGAAAGCGUGGGGAGCGAACAGG